AAUGUUACUAUAUGAGAGAUUAAAGCAGAAAUGCAGGCCAACAGGAAAAUUCAAUCAAAAAAUUUCAAACACUUACAUGAUCUAAGGAAAAGAUCUCAUCCAAAAGAAGUCUGAAUUUUGCAAGCCUUUUCCUGAACUACAAAUAGAAGACAAUCCUAUUUCUUUCAAAAUGGAGAUGAAACACCCCUCUUGUAUACAUCAGUCCAUAGCUCAAAAUCCUUCAGAGGCAAACAAGAACAGAGGAUCAAGAGAACACCCUGGGUGAAGAGACAAUAAUGGUCUUCAUCAGAGUCUCCAAUAAAGGAAGAAGAAAUUUAGGGUGAGGUCA
rnacentral:lncRNA from 1 species